GGCACGAUGGCAGAAUGGUUAUGCACCGGACUGCAAAUCCGUUUAUGCCGGUUCGAUUCCGACUCGUGCCUCCA
rnacentral:tRNA from 1 species